AUACGGAGGGUGCAAGCGUUAUUCGGAAUCACUGGGCGUAAAGGACGCGUAGGCGGGUUGGCAAGUCAGAUGUGAAAUCCUACAGCUUAACUGUAGAACUGCAUUUGAAACUGCUAACCUAGAGUAUAGGAGGGGGAGAUGGAAUUAGUGGUGUAGGGGUAAAAUCCGUAGAUAUCACUAGGAAUACCGAAAGCGAAGGCGAUCUCCUGGAACAUAACUGACGCUAAGGCGUGAAAGCGUGGGGAGCAAACAGGAUUAGAUACCCCAGUAGUCC
rnacentral:rRNA from 1 species